GAGUUUGAUCCUGGCUCAGAACGUACGCUGGCGGCACGCCUAACACAUGCAAGUCGAACGCAGUAGCAAUACUGAGUGGCAGACGGGUGAGUAACAUGUGGGAAUCUGCCUUGUGGUUCAGGACAACAUUGGGAAACCGAUGCUAAUACUGGAUAAGCCCUUGCGGGGAAAGUUUUAAUGCCACAAGAUGAGCCCGCAUUUGGUUAGUUAGUUGGUGAGGUAAUGGCUCACCAAGACAAUGAUCAAUAGCUGAUCUGAGAGGAUGAUCAGCCACACUGGGACUGAGACACGGCCCAGACUCCUACGGGAGGCAGCAGUGGGGAAUCUUGCACAAUGGAGGAAACUCUGAUGCAGCGAUGCCGCGUGAGUGAAGAAGGCCUUUGGGUUGUAAAGCUCUUUUGUAGGGGUAGAUAAUGACUGUACCCUAAGAAUAAGGUCCGGCUAACUUCGUGCCAGCAGCCGCGGUAAUACGAAGGGACCUAGCGUAGUUCGGAAUUACUGGGCGUAAAGCGCGCGUAGGCCGUUGAGUUAGUUAAUUGUGAAAUCCCAAAGCUUAACUUUGGAACUGCAAUUAAAACUGCUCGACUAGAGUUUGAUAGAGGAAAGCGGAAUACAUAGUGUAGAGGUGAAAUUCGUAGAUAUUAUGUAGAACACCAGUUGCGAAGGCGGCUUUCUGGAUCAACACUGACGCUGAGGCGCGAAAGUAUGGGUAGCAAAGAGGAU
rnacentral:rRNA from 1 species